rnacentral:rRNA from 1 species
GCUGACGAGUGGCGGACGGGUGAGUAAUGUCUGGGAAACUGCCUGAUGGAGGGGGAUAACUACUGGAAACGGUAGCUAAUACCGCAUAACGUCGCAAGACCAAAGAGGGGGACCUUCGGGCCUCUUGCCAUCGGAUGUGCCCAGAUGGGAUUAGCUAGUAGGUGGGGUAACGGCUCACCUAGGCGACGAUCCCUAGCUGGUCUGAGAGGAUGACCAGCCACACUGGAACUGAGACACGGUCCAGACUCCUACGGGAGGCAGCAGUGGGGAAUAUUGCACAAUGGGCGCAAGCCUGAUGCAGCCAUGCCGCGUGUAUGAAGAAGGCCUUCGGGUUGUAAAGUACUUUCAGCGGGGAGGAAGGGAGUAAAGUUAAUACCUUUGCUCAUUGACGUUACCCGCAGAAGAAGCACCGGCUAACUCCGUGCCAGCAGCCGCGGUAAUACGGAGGGUGCAAGCGUUAAUCGGAAUUACUGGGCGUAAAGCGCACGCAGGCGGUUUGUUAAGUCAGAUGUGAAAUCCCCGGGCUCAACCUGGGAACUGCAU